rnacentral:rRNA from 1 species
CAAGUCGAACGCGUCUCCGUUGAUGAUUUCAGGUGCUUGCACCUGAAAGAUUUAACAUUGAGACGAGUGGCGAACUGGUGAGUAACACGUGGGUAACCUGCCCUUGAAGUAGGGGAUAACACUUGGAAACAGGUGCUAAUACCGUAUAACAACCAAAACCACCUGGUUUUGGUUUAAAAGACGGCUUCGGCUGUCACUUUAGGAUGGACCCGCGGCGUAUUAGCUUGUUGGUAAGGUAACGGCUUACCAAGGCGAUGAUACGUAGCCGACCUGAGAGGGUAAUCGGCCACAUUGGGACUGAGACACGGCCCAAACUCCUACGGGAGGCAGCAGUAGGGAAUCUUCCACAAUGGACGAAAGUCUGAUGGAGCAACGCCGCGUGAGUGAUGAAGGGUUUCGGCUCGUAAAACUCUGUUGUUGGAGAAGAACAGGUGUCAGAGUAACUGUUGACAUCUUGACGGUAUCCAACCAGAAAGCCACGGCUAACUACGUGCCAGCAGCCGCGGUAAUACGUAGGUGGCAAGCGUUGUCCGGAUUUAUUGGGCGUAAAGCGAGCGCAGGCGGUUUUUUAGGUCUGAUGUGAAAGCCUUCGGCUUAACCGGAGAAGUGCAUCGGAAACCGGGAGACUUGAGUGCAGAAGAGGACAGUGGAACUCCAUGUGUAGCGGUGAAAUGCGUAGAUAUAUGGAAGAACACCAGUGGCGAAGGCGGCUGUCUGGUCUGUAACUGACGCUGAGGCUCGAAAGCAUGGGUAGCGAACAGGAUUAGAUACCCUGGUAGUCCAUGCCGUAAACGAUGAGUGCUAAGUGUUGGAGGGUUUCCGCCCUUCAGUGCUGCAGCUAACGCAUUAAGCACUC